UAAUUCGAAGCAACGCGAAGAACCUUACCAGCUCUUGACAUGUCUCGUAUGGGGACCGGAGACGGUUUCCUUCAGUUCGGCUGGCGAGAACACAGGUGCUGCAUGGCUGUCGUCAGCUCGUGUCGUGAGAUGUUGGGUUAAGUCCCGCAACGAGCGCAACCCUCGCCCUUAGUUGCCAUCAUUCAGUUGGGCACUCUAGGGGGACUGCCGGUGAUAAGCCGAGAGGAAGGUGGGGAUGACGUCAAGUCCUCAUGGCCCUUACGGGCUGGGCUACACACGUGCUACAAUGGCGGUGACAAUGGGAUGCUGAGGGGCGACCCCGAGCAAAUCUCAAAAAGCCGUCUCAGUUCGGAUUGCACUCUGCAACUCGAGUGCAUGAAGUUGGAAUCGCUAGUAAUCGUAGAUCAGAACGCUACGGUGAAUACGUUCCCGGGCCUUGUACACACCGCC
rnacentral:rRNA from 1 species